GCCUCCAAAGAAAAAACCUGUUGUGGAAUGUGCAAGCUGGUGUUUAAUACAUGAGCCCUUCGCAGCAGGUUGAGCAAUAAGAAGCACUGCCGCUUCCCUGCAUGCCCUGGGAACUGCAGAAGGUUCAGGUGCUAUGGGGCUACAAAGAAAAUCUGAUCUGCUUCAGCUUCUUCUAUGCUCUUUGCCGGGUCACUUCUUAGGAAUAAGCCUGGUACCUGAGGGCAGGUCGCUGGAUGGCGGUUUCUUACUGCCCUGCAGCUGGGGAAGGAGUUUGCAGCCCUUCUGCUGAGAACACAGGGCUGGGUCUGCAGCAACUAAAAAGACUGGAAGAUUUCUUCAAAUUCCUGCAUUGCUGUGAGCUGACACAAGGACACGGGGCUCCAUACGGUAACCAGCAGAUCUGCAGUGCAGGGAAAGUGAUUUCUUGAAACUUCAGCAUAUGCUUUCCAUUUGUGUGAGCUGGCACUGCCACGAGCCAGAGGAGGCUUGCAGCAAGCGGAGCCAUGCGGGACUGGCACCUGCUGGACUGUGAUUGGGUGACUUCUGGACCUUCUAGUACUACACAGGGGGACUGCAGGAGGAUCUGCCUGUCCAGCCACAGUGGGUCCUCUGGCCUGGAUGUGGGGAGCGAUGCGAUGCCAGGAGCUCCUUUGAGCUGGCUGGAGGAGAGCUCAGUUUCCAGUGGAUCUGUGCCGUGAUGCUGACAGAUUUUGCUGUCUACAAGGUGAAUACUGCAGACUCACCACGGUGCUCACCUGUUGAAAACUGCCAACCAUUGAUCACACUUCCAGCCACUUUCCCCUUCUACCAAAAACCUUUGGACCAUUUGGCUGAUUGCAGCCAAGCUGGGAAGAGGAAUGGAAUUCAUGGAGGCAGCUUCCAGGUUCAUCAGAACAGGUCCCUCUGCAGAUGAGAUGCCAGAGAUCCCAUGGAGGCGAGGAGGACCAAGUGUCUUUCUAGAUGCAUGUUGAAAUAGAGGACAAGUUCUGAACAGAGAAGCAUUUUUCAGUACGCCUGUGCAGAGCCCAGUGAAACACACUUCUGAUAUCAGGUGACUGCUGUGCUGUAAAUGCCGUAGGAUCAGGCUUCCAGUGAUGGGAAGGCAUCGGGAGAAGGGUGAGAUGAAUUGCAGUCACAGGGAUGAUCUCCACCACAGACGCAGAUGCAGGAUGGAGGUCCUCCAGGCCCUCACAGGUGAGAAGAGUGUUGAUAUUGAUUUGAGGCAAGAAACAUCUUGCAAUCAGUCGGACUCUGCUUGUGCUACACCUAUUUAGUUGGAUGCAUCUGUACCAGGUCAGCUCUGUGUGGUGGUUGGUGGAAAGGUGGUGAGGAGUGUCCUGAAAACCACUGUUCAGAAACAAACCCGCUUCUGAAAAUAGAUUCCCAAGAAGGAGUUGAGUUCAUCGGUGCUAAGCCAAUUCCAGUGCUUGGAAAAGGCAUUAAUCUGCUGAUGCCAGUCUGCUGAAACCAAAGUUCUGUGCUGAAAAAUGUAGUUUCUUCAGCUCCUAACUUGAAGUGAGUUUUCACGGCUCAGAAUCAAGAACCUCGCUGGAGGUGCAGGCUCUUUGAGCAGAGAUGUGCCAUGCAGAGGGGUGUGAAGGUGUAAUCAUCCCCUGUGACAGUGUGCUGAAGCCCUGUGCCAACCUGGCUGCAUGGGACAAGGGCAAAUAGCUACCACAUGUGAUUUGCAUCUGCAAGUGCUGCAGGGCUGCCCUGGCUGUCACAGCAGAGGAUAAGACUCCAGUGGUCGCCAGCAGGACACCUGGGAAGGUUCUCACUUCAUGCAGGCACAGAGAGAAGAGGAUUUUCAGACAUAUUUUUCCUCCCUUUUUCUGUAGAAAUGAAGACAGACAUUGACUAACAUUUGUUCAAGGCCAUCUAUGUGAAACGUAUCCAAAACAUCUUUGCAAAGCAAAGCUGCAGGCUGCUGUCUGUCUCAGGAUGGGUCUCCACGUGAGGCUAUUGGUGCUCAGCAGCAGAGGUGCCAUUCCAGGUGCCAGUGAUGGCACUGCCUGGCCUGUCCCUGAGGAGGAACCCUAUGAGGAAACAGCUCAACGCUGUGCAAUUGCUCAAGCAGGUACCUCGGGACAUACAGAAGGUCAGCACAGAGCACCCAGCAAUGUCCUGUGUCACUCUGGCACUGAGCCGCUUGCACAAAAAGGCAGAACGUCGGCGACAGGAUGACAAUUGGGUUUGGAUACAGGCUGUCAAUUAAUCAGCAAACUGGUCAUUAAUUCGAGAAGCAGCGAUUGUCCAAGGAUGAAAAAUCACAGUGCGUUGGAGAGCUUUGCAUAGACCCAAAAAGGAAUUCAAAAAACAAGCUGGAUAAACAAGAAGAACUUUCUGUCUGCUCGGAAACAUGUAGGCUAAUGUCCUUGAGCAUGUGCCAGGCCUCCGGGGGUUACGUCCAGGGAACGUGAGUCAAGCCUCGCCAGGGUCUGUCACCUGCAGCUUUGUGUGCAAUGCUAUUCCUUCAAACAUUUCAGGAAGAGCUCUUUGUCUUCAAUCAAGGAGGUUCUUAAAAGCUCUCAUUGCCUCCACCUGUGGUUCUACAUCUUCCUUACAGUGGUAAAGGAGCUGGGUUGGAAGUUCAAGUGGGGAACUUCUCAAAAACCUUUCCUGCUCAGAGGAACUUUGUCAAAGCACGGCUUCAUUUGGAAGAACAUCCUGCUUCACUUUCAUGUCCAAAGCUACUGCGGUGUUUUGCCAACUCUGAGCACAGCAUUAAGAUAAAAGGGAGACUCGAUCCACUUGGCAUUCACGAAUAAGUAUUUUUUUUCCUUCUUUAUUUUCCCAUUAGAAGUGUUCAACAGAAGCUGUAGGUGCUCCGUGUCAUUCAGGUUGUUGCCUGGGGGUGGAACAAUGAAGAUUCUAUUGGAAAGUGGCUAAAAUUUGGGGCCAUGAGCAUGAUGCCAUUUGGCACUUGCGUGAUUUUCCCUGCUCACAGCCACAAGGAUCUGUCACCAGAGGCUGCAAUCUUUGCUGCCAACUUUCAGCCCAGGAAAGGUGUUAGAGAUUGAACUGCACUGUGAUCCUUGGGAAAAGAGGGCAUAUCUUUGUCAUUUUGUUUUACUGACAUUUCUGGGGAUUUUGACAGAAGGAAGAUAGCAGGAAAUUACAACUCCUGUCAGUGAGCAUCCCGAAAUAUUUCUGAGUAAACGAUGGCAGAUGCUUCAAGCCAGAGAUGCUGUUAGACAUUGAGAAAUAUGAUUUUCUUUUACUCUCAGUUGAAGCUCUGAUUAUUUCAUUUUCCCAAGCAGAAGGUCAGUAUGACAUGCACGUCAUAUAUUCAUAUGGCAACUCUUAUAUUUCAUCCAUGCCAUUGUUUUUUUGUGUUUAAAUAGAGAUAAAACAGCUAAAUGCAGUUGAUCACUGGGCAGGAGACAGGCAGUGCUAGAAAAAAAAAGUUUCCCUUGUUUAAGUAGUAUUUCUUACUUAAAAGCAAGUUUUAUUUGGCUUGUGUGCAGAGCUCUGUCUUCAUAAACCUUUAAUCUCAGAGCUGUCAAACCUCCUUUGACCCAGAGUCUUACAGUAAAUAGAGGGGGGAAAAAAAAUGACAAAGAUGCUCUUCUGUAGAAAUGUGAGCUUAGGGAAUGAAGUUCAAGGUGAAAAUCCUGUAGUGUUGUUUCAGCAGCAUUAAUGGAAAUUGAUUCAAUGGAGACUUUUCAGUCUCCAUUCCUGAAUCUCUAAUGUCAAAGCCUUGAGAAAAUGAUAAAGUACCAUGAUUUUCUGAUUUUCCAGGAGAGUUCUGAGUGGCCUCUGCAAUGGAUGAGAGAAGGCAGACGGCGUGGAGCUGUGCUGGGGACAUGGCAGCAUGGAGGUCAUUAAACAGGCCAAGCAAGUUCAGUAUGUCAAAUGACACUUGGUUGAGCUAACUUGGUACUGCUAAAACAGCCAUGCUUCUUGAGGUUCUGUGGGAGUGCUGGACAAGGAGAAGGUUGGAGGAGUCGGGCGGGAGCUGUGCUAUUCCCUGCAGAGCCGGAUGCCAGCAGUGCUAUCCCAAGGGCUGGUUGAGAACAGCAGCUUUGGCAUAUUUGGCUUUUGGGACCCUGGAGACCUGAUGAUUGAGAUGAGAAAUAAAUCAGCAAACAAGCUGUGUACCUUCCUGCAAAGUGUUUGCAGCCAAGCACCAAGUUACAGGCGCCUCUCUGCAUAAGUGGGCUAGGCACAGCAAGCACAGCACUCACAGCACUUGAUCAAAGAAUAAUUUACAGAUAAUCUGAGUCUUGGGUCAAAUCCAUCGUUAACUAACCAAACCUCCCUCAACCCCAUGUUUUAUGAAGUUUCCACGUGGAAAGGCUUUAAUGAGUUCCUGUUCAUGACGAAACUUCCUAUGUUGGAUACAGCCCUGAAUCUCAUGCCAGCACUGGCUUAGCAUGGGUUGGUGCUGCUAGACCCAGACAUCUGGAGCUGCGCUGUGUAGGUGCUGGGUCAUCGCAACGCCUUCCAAUACAGCCACUCCAGGAGUACUGGUAGAUGCAUGACCCAAGGUGAGCAUGAAGAUGGUAGAGCACUUUACCUACUGGAGCAACUUUAUGCUGCAAUCUGAGGGCAGAUGGAUACCAGCUCUUUCCCUCUGGACAGGAUUUCUCAGAAAGACACCCACAUGAUCACCAUGGUGCUCACAGAAGCCUUUGUUGGGAGGAAGUUCACCCAUCCUGGCAAGGGGAGCAGGAGGGAGAGAAGCCCAUGUGAGGUGGAUGCUGUGUGUGCUGCAUGUUCCUUCUCUGAUCAGCCUGGCCAUAGAAAGAUGCAAUUCCAAGUGCCAGCCUGCGAAGCCAGAGCAGCACAUCCCUCCUGCUGUGCCCUCUCCAGGAACCAACACAGAAGGUCCUCAGGAGGCUGAAAGGGGCUUCUCGGCAGAGCUGCGUGAGUCAGUUUGCACGCUGGAGCCUUGGUCUUCUCGUGACAAGCAUUAGUCAGAGUGUUCCUGGCACGUGGCAGGAGCUUGAACCCCGCGGGUCCAGCGGCUUAUGCCGGCCUUUCUCGAGGUGGCUGCCGUUCAGCGGCAUGCAAGAUGAUCCCGCUGAGGAGCAGCAUUCUGCUGGGGUCUGCGGACUGAGAAGCCCUCCACAAACCUCCCUUAUGGCUUUCCAUUAGAGCAGCUAUACAUAGCUCCUCUCGGGAUCUACGGAGUUGCAUUAACAGGCAGACAACAGAAAGCACAAAUUUAUCAAAAUUAAAUGGAAGUCAAGAGAACAUACUGUCUAAGGCAGCGAGGCGGUUCAGACAGCUCUGCAGCAGCCUAAACAUAUGACAGACUCAAGCAGCUCCCACCGCUGCCAACACAACUGCUCGCGGGGUCUGCCAAGAAGCCAGAUGCUGCUGCUGGAAAAAAUAUCUUCCAGAGUUUGGCAUCAAGAUCCUGUGAUUACCAUCCAAAUGGGAGGAGAUGGAGUGGUAGAAUAUGUUAUCUCCUUUCCUGUUGGAAAAGUGCAAACAAAGCCAUUAAUCAUUAUCUCCCAUCCCCGUGGACAUGUCAGAUCUUUUUACAGGAGAAGUGGACAGGAAGCAAGGAGCAUCUAUUCCCUCACUGAGGAGCUCACAAGGAUUUCUGUGAUUCUGUGAUGACUGCUUACCUGUACGAUCUUCCAGAACCAUUUUACACAGCUGAGCACGGAACGCUGCUAAGAAGUUGGAUGUUUGCCUGUCUCAUCUACGAAGGGAGCAGCCAACUGCUGGUUACCUCCUUAUGUUAGUAUCUGGCAUUUGAUCAUUCAGAGAACUACCUGAAGCUCGGUUUUACUUGGAUGAUGUAUUUCUUCUAUUUUUCUGAAGAAAGCACCUUCAUUUCAUCUGUAUCUGGAACUGACAUAGAAAGCAAGUGGGAGCCCAACCUCUAUGGGCUUUGUCCCUGGAGAGCCUGAAAGGACACAUCAGAGCUGCUUCCCGAGGCUGGUGUGCAGGACUGUGUGCAGGACUUCCAGAGGAACAUCUGGAGCUCUCCACGGACCAGCCCAACCAGCAAAAGCUUACUGAAGAAGGGCAGUUUCAUCGCCUGCAUCAAGCACCCAGGAGCACAGCUGGCUGAUGCCACUGCCAGCAUCCAGGCAGACUCUUGUGAUCCCAGCCACAGCCAGCAGCCUGCAUGUAGAUUGAUUUCACUCUCAGUUUUGCAGCUCGGGCCAACUGGGAAUGUAAACCGCACUGACCAAGCAGAGUUGGGGAAGUUGCCAGCAAAUGCAGAAAAAAGGAAAGGAAGGAAGAUGUGGAAAGCAUGAGGUAAGAAAAUGAAUGCUGUUUUUUAAUACUCAACGUUUUCAUUUGGGCCAGGCCUUGCGAAACUGUCACAUUUCUAUGACCUUCUUUUCGGUAGAGCAUAUGAUCUUAGAUCAAUCCUUCAGCCUCUGGGUGGAGCUUAGCUGAACGAACCAUUGACAGUGACACCAGGUGGGUGCACACCUGAAAACCCACCUGUCUGUCACUGCCAUUUUGCAGGUUGGUUCAACACACAGUGGACAGAUGGAGGUUCUCAUCUCCAUUCAGGUGGAGAGGGGAAAUGUGACCAUCUACUGUACCUUUCCCUCAAAUUUUAAGAGUGCAUGGCCCCAAGAGUUGGUUCUGACUCCAUUAAGGUAAACUUAGUCCUCUAGAGGGCAUGGUUACACUGAUUAUAUAUUUAAUAAUUGACUAGUGUUACCUUGGCUAUCUGUUUGCCUUCCUGGCGUAAAUCAGGAAUAAAAGCACCACUAGUAGUAGAGUUUCAUUAUCAUCAGAUUUUCCAUGUAGUCUCUCUUCUUGAGGAGGAUAAUUGCAUAUGGUCCAGAAGCUUUGGGUUUGAUGGCUGGGGAAGCUUUCCAAGAAGCACCUGUCAUUCUGUCAUUGCUACCAAAAUCCAGUGUCAAUGCGUCUGUUUUGCUUGUAUUUGUGAUCCCUCUUCGGUUAUUCCCAGCAUCCCUUGGUAGCAGCCUCUGCUGGGCCACCUGGAUAGCAGAGUAAUGUUGGGUUCCCCAUGCUAGAAUCCAUCCUUAUCAGAAUAUAUGGCAGCUGCAGACAGUAGAUGGCAAUUAGUGAGAUUUAGGGAUUGUGGUGACUGAACUACCUCAGACAAAUUUCAAGGAUAACAAAAUUGUGCAGAUGUAAAUAUAGCCACCAUCUGUCCUGCUGUAUGUGUUUCCCUGAUGCACACACAUUGCAGAGGCUUGAAUCCAGGAGCCUGUCAUCCCAAGGAAGAUGCUGUGCUACCUGAUCCAAAAACUCACCACCUUCUCUGGGGUAGCACAAGCCAUGCCAAGCUCUUUUAAUCUGGAGGUCACAUCUUUGUAGACCUUAUGCAAGGCUCACUUGUCUGUCAUGCAAACACCUGCAUUUUAUUCUGUUUUACAAUAUUUAAAUCCCCUUAUAAAAUAAACAGCUACUGGCUGGAACCUUACCCAAGCCUUAUGUCCAAGAUCUGAUGAAUUUAAAGCUAUUCACUAAGGUGCAUUGGAGAAAUAGAAGGACUGGAAGCAGCCAUCAGCUAACAUUACGAAUAGAGAUGUAUUGGUCUAUUUUUUGUGGCUCCCCUCAGCUCCCGAGUACAUUCCAUAUGCACAACAUGCUAAGAUUUCUUUCUUUGGAUCAGUCAUAGUGCCAAACCAAACCAACACCUAGGAACUGCAAAAAGUGUUAAUCUGUACUAAUUUGUUAUCAUCACUGAGCUGUGCUGAGCAGUAUCCCUUUACUUCUCCUUUUCUUUAGUUAAAGCUGGAAUCCAUCCUUAGCCAUUGCAUCCCACAUGUCUGUUACAGUCUCAUAUUCUCUCAACUAGCAUAGUUCAGAUCUUCAGUUGGUUUUUCUGUGCUCAGCCUUUUUCUCUCUCCAUCUCACCUGCUGUGCUUGCUCUUACUGCAGAAGUCUGGGGGGCAGAUGUGUGCUGUGUUUUAAUCAGCAGCUCCCUGCCCUUAGACACCUUCACUCUGUUAUAGUGUUGAUCCUGUUAUCAGAGUUAAUAAACAAUAACAAUAGGAACCAGUUAUGCAGAGCAAAUUCUCAGGCUGCACUUACAUGGCCAGAGGCGCUCAAAUUAGCUCUUUUUCAGCAUAUCCAGAUACCUCUGUGUUGUGCUGUAGUCUGCGGUGCAGACAUCCCUUGACACCGCUGUGGGCUGGAUGUACUUGCCUAUGUUUUUGCAGCAUACAUGAAAAUGCAGUAUUAGCCCAUGAAAGAGGAAGGAGGGGGUUGGAAUGGGGCUGCAUUGGCUUUCAGCACUGGACAUGCUGUCUCAGAUCGUUGUUACUGCAACCAUUUCAUUCUAAUUCAUCCAUAUCAGCCAUUUUUAGGUCUUCUCAGCAUUUCACUCUUGCCAUCAGGCCGAAGAAGGCUUUGGCCAUGCUUCAUUAUGCUUGGCUGGUGUCAGCAUAGGAGUGAGUGACACUGUUAUCCAAGUCUAUCUCUCCACCACAAUGCAGACAGCCAAGCACUGUUGGCCCCAGUGGAUAUUGCUCAGCAGAUCUUUGUCAGGCUUGUUCAAACAAGAUAUGUUACCAUUGACCUAACAGCUAAAAGUUCACGCCUCUGACUCUGAGAUACUUCUUGUCUUGGUGUCAUUUGUUCAUUGAAAUAAUUGGUUGUUGUAAGAUUAUCACAUUAAGAGGGAUUUUUGUUUGUUUUGAGAAGAAUGGCAUUGUUCUUAGUAUCAGAUACUUGGUAGGUAGUUUAUUCUCUUGCUUCCUAUUCCACUGUGGGUUUGAGUACACAAAAAUCAGAGAACAUAAACCUUGAACAGAUCCAACUGCUAUACAAACCUCCUCUUGUCUUUGCCAAUUUAAUUCAUUGCUGGCUAUGCAGCUCAGGCUUCUUGUAAGUGAAAGGUGCCAAUCACACAGAAUUAAACAGUGGUUUUAAACAAAGCCAACUCACCUGUUUGCUGGAGACUUGAAUCAGACCACCAAACAGAUUUGCAGUUAUGCCUAGACAUGAGCCAAAGCCACGGAGUCCAGAUCCAAAACUGGCUUGAGGCUCUCAAGGUCUCAUCUGGAUGGACUCUAUGGCUUCUUAACAUAAAUCAUUGUAGGAGAUGAAAGAAUAACAUCAGAUUGGACCUCUGAGGCAUGACAGCACAUCCAGUCCUGAUUCAGAGCCACCACUGAAUAGGACCUAACCAACACCUCAUUCACUGGACAAACAAAUUUGCAGGUUUUGUUCUGAUUUGAUCUAUUUUUGAUGACUUCUGGGAUUUACGUUCCAUUGCCUCAGUUCCCAGGUCCAUAUGAAAUCCUGGAUCAGUCCAAGCAUUGCACAUCAGAACUGAUGUUGGCCCACCCUAAUUUCACAAUGAUUCCUUUACAUGUAGAGCAGAGUGUUUUUGGAUCUGGCAUCCAAAAUAGCUGUUUCUCUUAACAUUUGUUGACUGAAUUCAGGGGAGCUGGCUGUGCUGGGAAUUCAAGGGGAAAGACUGCAUUUCAUGAGGCCUUUCUUUUUUUAAAGCAAGCUUCAAAACUAGUAUUUACUGUUGGGCUGAUAAGCAGCCCUGUGCAUUUAAUGUGCCCCCCUGGAUGUCGAGUUCUGAUCUAAGACAAGUAACAAAACUCAUCUUCCAAGGCAGAGGCACAGCACACUGAGCAGCCAACUGCAUUAAGUUAUUUUGCAGGACAUCUCGGGAGCCAAGAUCCAGUCUUCUCUGUAGAAAAGCUGUGAGAGAUCAUCGCGCUUCUCACAGAGCAGUUUGCCUUUGAGUCUGCAGUCCAACAUUUCUGGGAUCCAUCAGGAAAGAUUGGCAACCAGGCACCAGCAUAGUGCUGGAGGGUGGUAGCCAUCCUGUAAAGAUUUAAUUUCUGAAGCAGAGUGACUUCAUGGAGCCAAGAUGCUGUGUGGAAGGGUGAGCACAAAGGUUCCCCCCGAGCGCAGGUCAGGCAUGUGGCUAUAGGUCUGUGGAAUUUUAGCAUUUCCGACUUGAAAUUCUUGUUACUGAGCUUUCAAAUUUCCUUUCAAGUUCCUAAUUGCCAACAGCCAAACCAAACUAGUUUGAAGCCCUAAGUCUCUCUGUCCAUCCACAGCCUAGCAGCAUUGCCAAGUGAUAUUCUGUUACACCACUUAGGGAUAGAAAAUAAUUUGCGCUUCGAUGUAUUUCUAGUUUUAAAAGAUGCAUUUCUUUAGGUUUUGUUUUUGCUUUUUCGUCCUUCAAUGUGUUUACCUCCGUGGAGCCCCUUGCCAUCAGAGAUCAAGGGCUAAUUCUUUCAGGUUACUUUGUGGGAAUUUAGGUAAAUAAGUGGGUAUUCCCAUAAAUCAUGUUUUUCAGAGGUCAGUGAAAGUGCAUGUAUCUCCAUUGCCUCUGGAGGGAUUUUUAGCCUUAGCUUCUUGAUAAAAUAAUUAAAUGCUCUUUUGCUGACCAAAGCUCAAACUGUUCACCAAAUCAUUGCACGUUUUGCACGGGACUUUGAGAACGAGGCUGCCUUAAUCCCAUUCUGCAAAGAGUCUGUGCUGAAGACCUUGGCUUGAGCUUGAGUUGUGGGAGGAAAACAGCAGGAAACACCACGCAUGAGGUAAGUUCACAGACUGGGGUGCUCCCUGCCUGCUCCCAGCAGACAUCUCUCUGCUCCCCACUUUCCCAGCACAUCUGUGUGCAGGGCAGUCACACUGCCUCCAUGCAAGCACUGCACCCCUCUCAGCCUCACCCCACUUGGAAGCAUGACUUCCAUGAGAGCAGACACUUUUAGUGUGAAAUGGAAAGGACCUGAGUGCAGAUUGAGGACAGGGAGUAUGGAGCAAGGCAUGCUGUCUCCAAAGCGAGGAAAAAAAAUACAGAUGUAGAAACAGGUGUUCAGGAUACGUCUUUCCCACCUUACAUCCCUGUCCAAGCUAAUCCACAUUUGAGGACACAAAACAGUGUAAGCAUUCCUCUUUCUCCCGAUACAACUACAUUCAUUCUUCCAUCCCACAGCUUUCAGCACCAGGCGUAUUCCAUCCACACAGAGCAUAGCUUGCAUACCUCCUCAACCACAAACACACAUCCUACUCAUAGUCUUCCAUGCUUGCAAGCACAGAGCAAGUGGAGAAUAUUGCACUUCACUUAGAUGUUGGCCAUUGCUCCAAGGUGUGUGUGGUGAGCAGGAGAUCCUCCUCGUCACUGCUGGUUCUCCUCAGCCACACUAAAUCAGACAGUCAUUGCUUCUUCUUUUUCAAAACAAAGUGAUCUGUGAAAUAAAGGGAGAAAAUGUGAUUCAACACCUGUCAUAGUUACAUACAGGUGGUUACCAUCUUCAGAUGGAAAAAAAUCUGUCAGAUCUCAUGCAGGUGUCACUCACAAGUGGGUGUACUCACUGCAUUCAGGGUUCCCCUUGGAUAAAAGGCAAGUUGUGAUUGUUGUGGGCCAUCUAGUAUUCUUGCUGAGGAUGUGAGUACAUUUUGAUACCAAGGAUGCAAUGGUUUAGACUUUGGAAUAGAAUGGUUCAAUUGGAGAGUCCUCUGGGUGUCAGACAUCAGUGCCUCUGCAGCUCACAGGGAAGAUCUGUGUCUUUCUCUACCCAAAAUGGUGAGCUCUAAAUCCUGAUCAGAGUGUUUGGCAUGAGGUUGCCAUACCAUUCAAAUUAAUAGAAGUAGACCAUGACUGUGAUUUGUUCUUUUUUCCCUCUUGUCUGACAGAUGCUCAGAUUUGUACUACAGCAUUAAUAAGUGUGAUUAAUUCUUUGUGGUCUGGAGAUAUUGGAAAGUAGGUAUCAGUAGGAUGUGCCAGGUGAGGAACUGUACCAUUCAUAGUGUUGAGUGAGGUAGAAGGCUGCCUAGAGCCCUUGGGCUAUCGGUUUCUUAUCACGGUAUCAUUAACAUAUGUACUUAUGUCUCCCGGAAAAGGCUGUGAGAUUAAAAAUGCCUUUUAUGAUGCCAUACCUCCACACUGCAAUGGCAGUAUUGCCUCUGACCUUCAAUAGAUCUGAGGCUUUUCUUGCUUACAUGUUUCUGUGGGAUUUUGGCAGUGCUUAUGUUUACAGCAUACCCCAGAAAAGCCACUUUGGGGCACAGGCUUAGUGGAAAUGCUCUCAGCCAUUUCUGCCAUGACUUUUUUUUUGCAUGUUUUUGGGACACGGCAGAUGUGGUCAACCCCUUCCUGUUCCUCCUGAAUCCAGCAAAUGAGGAGGGAGGCUGGUAUUUUAACGCUUCCUCCAGGCAUGUUACCUGUCCCUGUCCAUCCGGGCCUUGGGUAGCCUUUCUUUACCUCCCAGCUGUGGAUCUGUGUAGGCACCAGAUUAUUUCAAGUAACAUUUCGGAUGGACAUGAAAAAGGAAAAAGAACUAAUUUGGUUUCCGUGGAAAUGCUGUCUUUGUAUUUGGCCCUGGCUGCCAGGCGUGGAAGUAGCUGUGAGAUUUGGGCUGUAACAGGUUUGUAAUUCUAUUGAGUGAUGGUUGGAGGGAUGCUCUGAAGCAGUUCACACAUCCUCACACAAACCAGUUUGCCCAUUCUGCUGGCAUCCAGUACAGCUGCUCAGGGGUCUAAAGCUGUUCUGGAAAUCUGCAGCCAGUGAGUCUCACCAUUAAUUCUACCAUCUCACCCUGCAGAUCUGACCUCUUUUAAGAGUGAUUUGAUGUUUCUUUAAGCAACACCCCGUCUCUAUGAAGAAAUGCCAACAGAGGAGAAGUUUCAGGCUUGCUAUUUUUAUUUAAGCUGUUGGAACAGUAUGGACAUAAUAAGUGUUUUGGAAUAGACAUCAGUGUCCAGAGCCCAUUGGAAGCAUGCUGUGUGCAGGCGUCUCCCAACGCUUGAUGAAGAGUGAAAAAGUGAAGAGUGAUGCAGAACAGCCAAACUAACAUAUUCAGGAGAUACAGGUCCAGAUUGUGGAAAAUGUUGAGGGUUUGGUUUUGUUUGGAUUUCUUAAUUUAUCUUUACUAACGAUUAUGUGAUCGGAAAAGCAAUGAAAAUGUCUUCUUUAUGAAAAAAAAAAACACCUAAAAAACAAAAUACAGUUUUAUUGAAAGGCUGUUUUGUAGGAAGCAGGAUGAGACUUUGGGAGCCUGCAAGGCCUUUCUGAUGCCAUUCAGCCUCCCCAUGUCUGAGUUCUCCUGGUGGUGGGAUGGAAUCUCUUCAUGUUUUUCUUCCUCAGUGCAUAUGAUGAUACAGGCAAGGUGUGGUGAGGUGAAGAUGUGGUCAUGGGAGCCAAUAGCAGAAGCAGAAUGCUGCUCUCCUAAGAAAAUGCUUUUUGUCUGUUCUUUUAACAUAAACAGUGUGUUCUUUAAAGAGCACACUGGGCUGUGAUGUGGCUUAGAACAGACCUGUAAGAAUUAAAUCCUGUUGCCAUGAAUCUAUAUUCUUUAAAAAGCAUGGAGAACGCAGCUGCUGAAGGUUUUGCUACUAUGAGUCCAGCAUGGUGAGCUUGCUCAGUCUACCAGCAGUCUUCAAGAUAAAGAGCUGUGUAGGGUAUUGACCUUGGGGAGUAAUACUGAGCACAGCAUUAAGAGCUAAUGGCUGUGGUUUGAAAGCUGGGAUGGAGGUGGUGUAGGAUGGCCCUGGAUGGGACAGAAAGCCAGGGGGAGGUGAGGGCUGAGUGUGAGCACGCUGCUGGGUGAGAGGCUGGGGGACAGGCACAGCAGCAGCUGGGCUGGGGACACAGGUCCAUGAGUCAGAGCCACUUGAGUCUCCAGCAGCUGGGGGCUGAGAUGCACCAGCCAGGCACUGGGAGUUACCUGCUUGAGUCCUGGCUGAGAGCUCACAGCAGACUUCCACUCCUUUUUCAAAACAGACCAUUUAUGUGACCCUUUCAGUCCUUGUUUCUGUUAGCGGGCCAAACAAGUUCUAAGUGCCAACAUACUGAAGAAGUGGAAAAGUUAGUUUAUAGAAGGGAAAAAAAGGGAAGGAGAAGAAAAACAAAACCCAAGUUAUUUCACAAUGUUUGCAUUCCCAUGCCUUAACCACAGUAUUCCCAGCACGCGGAUUUUUAUGGUGCAUCUGAGAACCAACCACAAUGCUAAAGAAACUUCAAAAGGAAAGUCAGGAGGAAGAAGUGUGGAGGGAAGUCAGACGGCAAGGAGCAGAGCAUGGCAGCAGCACUGGGUUUGCUGUUGGCAGUGCUUCCCACUCUCCUUCAGUCCCAGCUGGGCCCCAAGAGCAGAGGACCCUGCAAGGCAGCCUGUGUUAAGGUCAUGGAGGUCUUUCUUUCCACUUGGGGAUUUCAAUGCCUUUCCCUCAUGGUUUGUAUCUAACAGAACGUAUUGCUGCAGCAGAGUUCAUCAUCAGUGUGAGUGCUCUGUCAUAUUCUGACACAGAUUCAAUAUGAUUUUUGUUACAUUACUGUCCACUUGGCUUCAGUAAAUGUUAUAGACCUGCUGUUUGCAGCACAGUCUGUCUUCAGUGGAGGAGAUGGCCUUGACCAAAAAAAUUAAAGACUGUUAUCCCAGUUUAUUGGAAGAGAACAGAAAUACCUGAGAUGUUCAAGAAAGCAUAACUCCCUCAACUGCAUUCUGUAAGCAUCAGAAUGGCCUAACCAGCUUUCAGAAGUGCAUCCCAAACCUUCUGGCUCUGAAUUUUUCUCGUAUGACCAGGGGAACCUUUCCAUCAGCAUCACUGUGUACCUGUUAGCACUGAGACUGUACCACUGUAGACUCUAUUGGAUGUCUGAUUGCCAGGUGGCCUUAUGAACCCAGGAAGGAGGACAUGGAGAAUAUCUGAGGAUGCAUAGUGUGACCGUCAGCCUGGCUUACACAUCUCGGGUUUAUGGAGUGUUGCUGAAGAACUUCUCCCAGGCUAAAAUGAGGAUCAGUUCCAGGUUUCCAAUCAUAUCAACAGUAGGAUCGUGAUUUAUUUCUAAGGUCUGGGGCUAAAUUGAGCUGCCAUCAAGUCUUGUACAGUUCAGCUGAUUUCAACAGAGACACCCAGGAGGGCACAACUGGUCUGACUGCAUGUGUGAUGUCGUGUGAUGCUGUGGAGUCUCCUAGAUGGAAGGUGCUACAGAGGUGUGAAAAAUGGGAUUUCUUUGGAAGUGCUGAGCUUUUAAGAACUGGGACCCAGACUUGGAACAUUAUCAGAGGUGAUGAAAGCAGCUAAAACUGACAGCUUUGCUUCAUGUUUUGCAAUGAGAAAUGAUAUCAGAUACAGCCUGGAAAAGAUCUGCCACUGUGUAAUGAUCCAGCAACUCAGGAACUCCCGAACUGGCAUCACUCCAGGCAGGUGCCCUGUUAAUGCUUCCCGGCCCCAUCUGAAGCUGCAUCGAGCUGCAUGGAAGCAUCAACAAACUGUGGUUGUGAUGGGAUCCAGAGCAAGAGAAUUAAGAAAUGUGAGGAAAAUCCCAACCACUGCAGGGCCUGCGUUUCCAAGGACACAGCUGAUCUUUCUCACGUGAUGGCAUGAGCUUAAACUGAGCUCCGCAGAAAGAUGUGUGCCUCGGGGUUUGUUUGUCUCACUCUGCAAACUGAGCAAGAUUCUCCAGUGGAACAGACAAGCAGGGAUGGGACUGCACACUGAGAGAUGAAGUACAAACCUGAGUUUUAAUAAGCUUUGUAAAAUAUAUCAGGCUCCCAAAUGUCACAGAGUGAGAAAGACAUUUCAAUCCUGAAUUAAUGAGUAGCGUCACAGAGCCAGCUAUAAGGCAGGCACGGAUAUGAAUAUAAAUCAGCAUGUGUGUCUUACCAACAACCAAAUAGCUUGUGACAUCCUGCAGCAUAAAGUUGUUAAUAAAAAGCAUAGCUAAUUUAGAGAUCAAAUUAAUGGUGUCAGGAGUACAUUUCUUUUCCCCCUGGAUGACUAGAAUGAUGCCCCAGGAUUGGACUCCUGGCAGGUGGCACUUUGCUAACAAAGCAAUGUCCAGGACUGGAUGAAGUGCAGUCCUAUGGCAGCUCUGUGUGCAGGCAGAACCAAGUGGGCUUUGGGCAUGGGGUGCGUUCCUGGAGCCCACGCACUUCCCUCUCCUGGAGAAACCAAUGGAGACCAUGGUGUGCUGGAAACAACAGUGCUUCAUUCAACCUUCCUGGCAGUCCUUUGGGCUGUAUUUCAAUGAGUUGUUAUUUUGAUAAACAGCUCGCAUGCCAAGAGCUUGCAAGGUGAAGAAGCGCAUGCUCAGCGUUUCCCAGAAGCUGCAGCAUCGCAUUUGGAUGCACGGCUCAUGUGAUUUCAUCUCCAGAAGCUGCUUACUUUCAUUAUAAUGUUGCUUUGUGCUGGUUGUGUUUUGAAAAGUUGGCUACUGUGGUGAACCCAACCCAUGUCAGGGUUGAGAAAGGGUCAGGUUGGAUAGAAAACAUCCAGCAACACCAGCUGCAGGGCUGGAGCUCGCUGCCUCUGCUCUUCUCAGCCAGAGCAGUGAUGAUACAGCUCAGGCUGGGCAGAAGGGAUAGAAGGUGCCAGCCGCAGUGUCACUCAUGUCACUUGUGUCACUGUGACCUGGCCACGAUGACGUGUCUCCUGCUGUCACACUGCCACCCUCAUGGCAGCUGGGGAGGUUUUGAAGGGAUAACUUCAGGCAGCAUAAUUCAAGACUUCAGCUCAGAAUUUAGCCCCGGUUCUCUGGAUUAGAUGCUCUUGUUUUGUGUUUAGCUUUGGGAAGGAGAAGAAUUAAUCAGCCUGCAAGGGGCUGAUGCAAAAAGAAAACCAAAACUAAAAGAAAUUUUAAUAAAAGCUACAGCAUUAACAAGUACUGAACUAAUGACCUUUGAUAUAUGAAGCAAAUGCUUCAUCCACUAGUCUAUGCAAUGUUUCAUUACCAGCCAUGGGAAUUUACAGGUGUUAAAUUAGCUGCAAGAUAGCUCCCAUAUUGUGACCGUAAUAGAACACAUUGAAAAAGUUAAUAAAGAACUGAACAUAGGGGCUGCAGAGUUCAAAUGCAACCUCCUUGCCAGUUCAUUUUGAGGUCUUCAUCAGCUGAAUUCCAGCACAGGCAAUGAUUCUGCAUCUGAUUCUCUUUAUUCCUUCUUAAUCCUGGAGGACAGCAUCCACUAGAAGUGCAGCACUGCUGGUACAGAGGUGGAAGCCAAGAGAGCAGCCACAGAAGCGACAUUGCACUGCUCUAAUCAGGCAUUAGUUUCACAUCCUGCCUUGGAUUUUUCUUUUACCAAUUUUACUACAAUCUGCAGAUAGGAACUAUCAUUUUAUACAAUUAUGAAACGGUUCUGAAACUGUUGGUGUCAAACAGUUGGACAGAUGUAGAGGCUGAAACUUCAUCCAUACUUUCCAGUUAGACAACCACAAUCGAAAAACAACUGAUUGCCUAUGAUGCCUGUAAAUGUUACAAUUGCAUUUCAAAGUCACACUCCAGCUUCCUUGCUGUUCACAAAACCCUGGUAGACAGCACACACACUUGCUCAAAGUCCUUGACUCAACUCCCUACACAGCUGCUCUCUCUGCUUCUGUUUGUGCUGAAGCUGUGGCCAUUUGCAGGUGCAUGGGAUUUCUUCGCCUCAUGCUGUGUGCAUGAUGUAGGUUCUGGUCCACUGAUAAGAACAGUUAUUGCUUCCUCUCUUGGAGAUAAAACUGUGUUUGAGAAGUACAGUGUAAUACACUCGGGGCAGGAAGGAGAGAUUCUCUGAAGGUUCACAAAUAGGAUUCUCAGACUUCACUUUUUUCUUCUUCAAACAGGAUUUUGUGUGUUCAGAAGUCCUUUGGUACUACCAAACCACAUAGAUUAAAGGCUGGAUUUCAUCUAACAGCCUCAACAAUUUAGCAAAACAAAAUCUUUAAUAUACACUAGCAGUAAAAAAUAUAGGGGGAAACAAAUAAACAAACAACAACAUGAGCAGGGGAGUGGAUGGGAUUACUCUCCAGCUCAGGCAGACCAUGAGAACCAGCAGUCAGACUGGAUGCAAAGAGAAGAAAGGAAAACAAGCAAGGUGGGCAGAGCAGGUGCUCCUGGUUAUUGUUCUCUGUGCUUUUCGUUGAAGAACCAAUUAUUCUAAGACUUAGGUUGUUAAAGUUAAGAUUGAAUGAAUGGCUUCAGCAGUGGUGAAAGUGAUGAUGGAGAGCCCUUGGCUGGGCAAUGCAGGAGGACAGCUAAAUUAACAAGUAAUUAGAGCUCCUCUGGCCAUGGCCAAGGCCACAAUUCAAAGCAGAGGAUCUGGGGCAGGAGGGAAUGAGCAGUCCUGUCCAUCUGGUUGCAGCCAUGUUUGCUGCCUGCAAACGUUCUCUCUGGUGCUACAGGAAAGCCACAGGUUAUUCUGCAAAUGCAACAUUCAUUUUCCAUGAACAACAGCCAGACAACAAGUUUAAAGCUAAAUUAGAUACAAACAUCACGCAACAUCCCCCUCUAAAGAAGCAAAAACAUGACAGAUGGGAAAAUAUACUAAAGUAAUUUUAUGACAGUUGCAACAAGCCAAGAAACUAUGGCAGUAGAUAGAAAAUAGAAUUCUAGGAUGUAUGUACCAUUUGCUGUUUCCAUUGGUGUGGGGCUGCGUGGCAGAGCCAGCAGGCAGUCCCUCAGUGCCCAUGUUGGCUGCAGGAUGCCAUGGGGCAGGCAGACAGCACCGAGCUCAGCACUGCCGUCCCCAGCCCUCGUCCAGGCAGGGAGGGGCUGCACGGUGCUUUAUUUCCUGUUGCUCGUGGCUGCCUCGCUGACCCCUCUCCUGGUAAAUGAAACACCUCUGGCAGCACAGUGAGUUUGAUUAAAAAACAGGAAAUAUAGGAGGUAAGACAUUUUCAAUAAUGCCUUCAAAACUGGGGCCUGGUCCAAUGGGCCCUAACUCAUCCAUGUCAAAGAAGCUAUCACUGGGUAAGGGAUGUGAGUUCCAUCCUUGCUGUGCAAUGAACUCAGCUUUGGAAUGAAUCUCAAUUGUUUUUCUUGAUCUUUCCUUAUUUUGUUAAACAAAGGCUCUAUAUGAUUUUCUCUCACUGUGUCUCCUGGGAGGUUGCAUUUUCUCUGCUCUUUAGCACUGAAUCACAGUAUGUUACAUUUAUAUGGUACCCAAGGGAUCCCGAAGCAUGCAGAAAUCAUAAGCCAAAUUUCACUCUUGGAAGCAUGAGCUCAGCUCAUACCAAAGUUAAUGGGAGGUGAGCACAGACAUCUAAAGGGAAGAGUUGGCCCAUCAAGACAGAGGACUCUUUUCACCCACCACCUAAAGCAGCUGCCCGCAGGCAGAGCCCAGCCCAGCCCAUCCCGGAGGUGCUGGUGGCUGCCAGUUGCCAGUGCUGUGGGACAGCUCUGUGUUAGCACCACCUGCAGAUGGGCUCUAGGCUUCCAUGGACACUGUUGCAUCACUGCGCGACCCCUUGGUUUCUACAGUGACAAAAUCAAAGGGCUCUUAACACUGUUUCUGUUUCUUUGUUUCUAUUUCAGAUUGACUUGCACUUUUCAACCUGAAUCAUUCCAUGUAAGGGGUUUUUAAGGCCCGCUCUGUCAGACAGGGAAGCCUGAACAAAGCUCUGUAGCUUGUGUGUCAUCGCUGUGCUUGCUGUGCUUGCACAUCAGAGGAGAGAUUUAUUUUUAAAUUCUCUCUGUUCCUUUUUUUCUUGCUCUGAAGACAGGUGGUCAGUGGGCUGAUGUCCCAUCUGCUGGCACAAGGCACAGCGUCUAGUGGCACAGGCAUGGAUCACAGGUUCACACCCAGUGUCCAGCACAGCAAGCAGAGAGGAGAAACUCCCUUCCCGUGCUCUUGUUUUCCUUCAGUUUUGCUAGCGAAGGAUGAAUUUCAUACUGUUCUGAGUACUUUUUUGGAUAACCCACCCCAAAGAUGCAAUCCAGAUGCACAGCCAAGUGCCUUAAACCUCUGAACCGACUAAACCAAAUUAUAUAAAAUCUUCUGAGUUUGCAAAAUCGAGUUGGGAAUCUCAAGAAAACAGGCGUGCUUAGGGGAUUUCCAGCAUUUCCUCCUCCUUCGCAGGUUGGCAGUAUCACAGAGCAGCCUCUUCCCAUGGUGUUCUGGCACUCCUGGGCUCCUUCCCAGCCAGGAGAGUAAUUUGCAAAGGUGCCCAAAGUUAAAAAAUUAUGGGGGAAAAUGUUAUUUGGCCUGUUCAAAGCACAGAGAGCUUCUUUUAAGCAUGGGACGAAAUGAUGGCUUAUUAUCCAGACAGGUCCUCCUUUCCCCGACUCUUUGUGUGAUGACUGUAUGGAGCUGCUGCUGGAAAGCCAAGUGCUGUGGGACCUGAAAGGAAGAGCAGAAAGCUAUUUCCCUGCCUGUUCCACUUGUGGAUGGACUUCAACCAAAAGCUAAGAUCCAUGCUGAAGGAAAAUUGUCAUAAGGCGCCAGGACCAGCUCUCACAAAAGGCCUCUCACUCUUCAUCAGCGUAAUUAACCUCCUGAGGCCAAACUUAAGAGCUGGAAGCACCAGGAAGCAGCCCUCAGUGCUCAGUGUGCUGGCUUAGCAUGCAGUCACACUCUCUCACGUCGCUUAAUGCAGGUGCACACCACUCCCAUUUCCAGACAAGCUCUGUCUCUCUCCCUGCCCAUUGCUUCCUUCCAAAAGCUAGAAUAAGUCAGGGGCCAGGGUGUCUGAUGCCUGCACAGGCUGCUUAGCCCCAGCCUUGCUCUGCAUGCAGAGCUGAGCAGGGCUGCUCCCAUCCCCAAGCUCUUAGCUCCCCACACUGCACUUAUCAGCAGGGCCUGGUAACUGGCCUCAGGACUGCUGCCAAACCAGUACAAAUCUACAGGAACUCUUUUCGUUUAAAUCCUACUGCUCAGAUGAAUAGGGCUGUGCAUGCACGCACACACAGGGCUGCUGCGGCUUGGCAGAUGAGCGGCACCUCAUUAAGUUGCAAUAACUCAAUCACGCGUUAUCAUCACAAUCUCUAUUCUCUUAACUCCGCAGUUGGGUGCUUUCAAAGGCUCUGAGAACUCAGAGGUCCCACUGGCGGCGGUGGGGCUCGCAGGUGCUCCAGCCUCUGAAGAUCAAGGCACUGUGUGCAGAUGUGGGAAUACAGCUCUCUGCCUCCACUCGUGGAGUGCCCAAGUCAGGAGACCACAGUGCCCAUUUGGAGGAGCGGAUGGGUUGAGCACAAAGGAGCGGGCAUGGGUUUGAACUGGGAAACUCAACACUGGCCCAAAUCCUGGGGGGACACCUGACCUCGGUGUGACUCCACAGACCCCAGUGUCCAUUUAUCGCUGUCAUCCUGAGCUCUCUCCUUUAGCUUACAAAUGCAAUGGACCAGCUUCCCUGAGGUCAUGUUUUAAAUAUACCACCCUGGGGCUACUCUUUAAAAUUCAGAGUAUCAGAGGACACACAGAGAGGGCGUUUCGCAUCAUUUCUGACAAGCAGAAAUUCUCCUUGACAAACUGAAAGUUUGCCCACAAAUCUGAACAAUGAUGCUGAACAAGUUUGCUGUGGAUAGCCCUUAUGAAGAAGAGGGGAAGUGAUGCUGCUGAGGUCAGAUCCCAACACAAGUAUGGGAAGAACCCCAAGGAUGAAUGCAAUGACCCUUCACACCACUCAGAUCUAGGGAUCAAGGGGGUCCCCCCAGCACAAUGAUGCUCUCCUUUCCUAAGAAGCACCAGCAAACUGGUGUGAGUGGAGAAGUGACUUCAGAGUUGAACCCAAGCUCUGCAUGGCUGCCAGCAGCCAUCCCCAUGGACAGAGCAUAUACCUUUAAGUGCUGUUCACUUGCUCCCUAAAAGGGAGAAAAAAAAUAUAUUAAUAAAAUAAAUAAAUAAAUAAAUGUCUGUUAGGAAUUA